rnacentral:lncRNA from 1 species
AGAAAGACUUUUUAACAAAUUAGCUGCCCUAGUAAAUUUCUCAUACUGAAUGGAAGUAACCCAUAAUGAGAGGUCCCCCAAGCUCCCGACAAACCCUGAACCAGUCUUGUAAACCUUUGUUCUUUCUUGGGGCUAUGGCCGCUCUGCAUUCCUGCGUGGCUUGCUCAUAAAUAAGCUAUUCUACCAGAGGUGCGGCUUGCUCUGAAUCUCCAAAAAUACGCUCUGCUGCCUCUGUCAUUCUGGCCACAAAAUCUGAGAAUGACUCCUGAGGUCCCUGGACGAUCUUUGUUAGUUGUCCAGUGGCCUCACCUGCUCGGGAGAGCGCCUUCCAGGCCCUAAUAGCCUUUUCAUCUGAUUCAGAACUACUAAGAACUGGCUCCUUGAGCUCAUCUAGUGAUGAGUAUAGGCUCCUUCUCCUAGAGACCUCCGCUAAUUGAUCUUUUUUCUUUUCCUUCCUUCUAAUCUCUCCCCAGGUAUUCUUACCUGACCUAAACUUUUCCUCAGGUUCAAGACCCGUGGAAAGGCCUAUAUACUUAUUUUGUGUACAAUAUUUCCUCUUUGCUCCUACUCUCUCUCCCCGCUUUACUUCUGAUAGAUUGCCCUGAAUUUCAUCCAGAAUUUUCAGCCCUGCCUUAACCGCUUGAUAACAUGUGAAAAGGAACAAAAGGGCUCCUAACACUAGAAAAAGUUCAAGGCCAAACAUACCUUGUAAAGCUAUUUCCCACUUUACUUCUGAUAGACUGUCUUGAAUUUCGUUAGAAAGUUCAAGACCAGACUUACCUUGUAAAGCUAUACUUACGGGUACCCUGUUCCCCAGCUGAAGAGUUCUGAAUUCACGCAGUUGAAUCCUUCUCAACAGUCUGUGUUACGGGAACACUUCAUUACCACCGUUCCCCAGCUGAAGAGUUCUGAAUUCACACAGUUGAAUCCUUCUCAACAGUCUGUUUUACGGGAACACUUCAUUACCACCAUUCCCCAGCUGAGGAGUUCUGAAUCCAGGCUGGAUCCUUCUCAACAGUCUGUUUUACGGGAACACUUCAUUACCAUGACCCGCAGUUCUGGUUCCAGAAUGAGGGAUCUUCCUUGCGCCGGUGAUGGUAACCGUCCCAGGUUUUCUCGUCCCAGGUCUUCUCGUCCUAGGUCUUCUCGUCCCAGGUCUUCUCGUCCCGGGUCUCAGCACCAACUCUUACCCGCGUUCUCACGACCGGCCAGGAAGAACACAACAAACCGGAAUCUUCUGCGGCAAAGCUUUAUUGCUUACAUCUUCAGGAGCCAGAGCGCAAGAGCGCAAGAGUGCAAGAGAGCAAGAGCAAGAGAGAGAGAAAGAACAAGAACAAGAAAGCAAGAGAGCAAGAAUGAGAAAACAAGAGAGAGAAAAAGAAUGGCAAAACCCCGUCCCUUUUAAGGAGAAUUAUCCUCCGCCUAGGACGUAUUACUCCCUGAUUGGCUGCAGCCCAUCGGCCCAGUUGUCAUCACGAGAAAGGCAGAACACAUGGCGGGAAAACUGCCCCUGCACGUGUGCAGAUUAUGUUUACCACUUAGAACACAGCUGUCAGCGCCAUCUUAUAAUGGCAAAUGUGAGGGCGGCUCCCAACACCCAUUCCUUUCCUUUUGUUUGUGUUCUUCACUAUGAAAUACAGAUAAGUGUUCUUUAAGAUCUCUAACCCUCCUGUGUCUCUUCCAUAGAGACUGACACCAUGUGAGGGAAGGGGUGGUGUCUAUAAUUCUGCUCUACAAAGCACAGAACUCAGUAGGAGCCAGGACCUGGUAAAGCAUUAUUAAUUCUGAGACUUUUAGUCAGGGUGCUGGAGGGCUUGGCAGACAUGAAUUAAUGGGCACUUUCUCUCAACUCAGUUUUUCUGGGCUCACUGAUGGUAGGUAGUAUGCUUGGGGUUCUCUGAAUCCACCACCUCUAAGAGGCCUUGGCCAGGUUGUAGGAUGGUGUCCUUGUAAAGCCAGUACCAGGGAAUGCCAGGACCAGGAAGAGGGCUUAGGUGGGUUGGGGAGCAGGGUGGGAAGAGUGCAUAGGGGACUUUCGGAGAGGAAAUUAGGAAAGGGCUUAGCAUUUAAAAUGUAAAUGUAGAAAAUAUCUAAUAAAAAAUCAACAAAAAAAAAGGACGGAAGGAAGG